ACGGAGGGUGCAAGCGUUAUCCGGAAUCACUGGGUUUAAAGGGUGCGUAGGCGGCUUAGUAAGUCAGUGGUGAAAGACUGUGGCUUAACCAUGGAAUUGCCAUUGAUACUGCUGAGCUUGAAUCAGGUUGAGGUUGGCGGAAUGUGACAUGUAGCGGUGAAAUGCUUAGAUAUGUCAUGGAACACCGAUUGCGAAGGCAGCUGACUGGACCUGUAUUGACGCUGAGGCACGAAAGCGUGGGGAGCGAACAGGA
rnacentral:rRNA from 1 species